AGCAGGUGAAGGGAGAAAGCUGGUCACCCUCCAGGAUAAAGAGAAAUUACAAAGAGAGGGAGGCCCUGGCUGGGGAAUACCUGAACGAUCGAGCAUCAGGAGACCACGGCUCCAGACUAUGGGCGGUUCCAAGAAUAAACUCGACCUGCCCUCCAGCUUCCUGCAGCACCUGCACUGCUUUCAAAACAAAUACAGAUACAGCGUCAGCAACAGAGUGAGAGCACUCUCGGGGGUUCCAAAGCCUGGCGCGAUGUGAUACUUGCUCUAUGAAGUUUAACUGUCUCGGUCUAUUCUUUUACAAGAUACAGGGUUUUCUCUCGCUCUCUCCUCAGUGGUUGGUGGAGUCGAGUACAAAGAACAAAGAAAAUUUACAGCCUGGGAACAAGUCCUUCUUUCCUCCAAGCCUGAGCCGAUCCAAAUCUACUAUCUAGAUCUAUCACCCAAUUCCUAAGCAUCUGUAUCCCUCUACUCUCCACUUACUCAUGCAUCUAUCCAGACGCAUCUUAAGUGAAUCUACUGGGCCUGCCUCUACCAUCUCAGCUGGCAAUCCGUUCCAGACACUCACCACCCUCUAAAGUAUUUGCUGUGUGUAUCCCCCUUAAACUUUUCACUUACCUUGAGCAAUGUUCAAUUAUAAUAUAAUUGUCAUUAUAUUGUAAAGUUAUUACAUUAUUUUGUAGUGAUUGUAAUUUUAUGAAAAAUGUAGACUUUUUCUCAAAAGUAUUUACAAAAAUAUUACGUAGUAAUUAAAAUAGAAAUAUCAGGCCAAACAAUAUGUUGUCACUGCAUGAUGUGGGAGCAAGGUGACCCUAUUGUGGUUCAUAUGUCUAUGAAGGAUUUAAUGAUUAUGUUGUAAGUAGUUCUUCAACCAAGGUGAAUUAUUUUAUAAAACCAUACUAGAGAGAGACUCACUGAAGAGUUUUGGUGUUUUGUUUUCUCUUGGUUGAGUCUUAGGAAUGAACAGGGUAAACAGUUGUAAGUCGGAUUCAGGUAUGUGUCUGGAUUGUUUUAACUUGGAGAAAACACAAACUAUAAGCUUUUCUUCAAGUUACGUUUGGCAUUGUUGCCAAAGUUGGACUUGUAAAAUAAUUGCCCUAAGUUUACGACUAUGAAGAAAGGGUUGCUAGAAGGGCAAGCAGUUUAGUUUUAAAAACUCCAGCUGCAAAGUAUUUGGUUAAACCCAUAAAGUGGCUAUUUGAAAUUCAAAUUCUGCACUUAGUUGUACAUGGUCUCAAGGAAAAUGUAAUCACUGAACCUUAGCUAAUUCAAAUUCUGAGUAUAAUAAAGGAAUUCUUACCACUGUGGAGUCAUUCAUUUGAGAUCAA